rnacentral:tRNA from 1 species
GCAUUGGUGGUUCAGUGGUAGAAUUCUCGCCUUCCAUGUGGGAGACCUAGGUUCAACUCCCAGCCGAUGGA